AUGAACGCUGGCGGCGUGCCUAACACAUGCAAGUCGAACGGAGUCCAGCCUUUCAGACCUUCGGGUCAAAGAGGGGAAGACUGAGUGGCGGACGGGUGAGUAACACGUGGGCAACCUGGCUCAUAGAGGGGGAUAACAGAGAGAAAUUUCUGCUAAUACCGCAUAAGCACACACUGCCGCAUGGCAGAGGGUGAAAAGAGAAUCGCUAUGAGAUGGACCCGCGUCUGAUUAGCCAGUUGGCAGGGUAAGAGCCUACCAAAGCGACGAUCAGUAGCCGAUCUGAGAGGAUGAACGGCCACAUUGGGACUGAGACACGGCCCAAACUCCUACGGGAGGCAGCAGUGGGGGAUAUUGCACAAUGGGGGGAACCCUGAUGCAGCGACGCCGCGUGAGUGAAGAAGUAUUUCGGUAUGUAAAGCUCUAUCAGCAGGGAAGAUAAUGACAGUACCUGAAUAAGAAGCCCCGGCUAACUACGUG
rnacentral:rRNA from 1 species